rnacentral:lncRNA from 10 species
GGUGUAGAGAGCAGCGUUUGUACAUCAGAUGGCUUCAGUGGCUUCUUUCAUUACAUAUUCAUGUGGAUUCCACCUUUGCCUUGUUCAUUAGGGGCAUCAGCCCCUUCAAAAUCUUCUUCAUGAAUGGUCAGCUCAUUUAGCCCUUCAACAGCUUUGUUCCAGAUGACAUGGAUAUGGAUAAGAAUGAGGAACUAUUGGUGCCUUUGGCCAUGCUUCCUCAAUGAGCUAGGUGGAGAUCCACAGCGAGUACCAGGACCUCUGUUUUCUUGGCAGAAGGGUCAGGACUGACCUGUGGUUCAAAUGGUGCAGGUAUCUCUGGAAUAAAUCUAUCAUGGCUCCUCCAAGUGCACGAAGGUCACAAAGUGGUGACCCAACCCUGAUGGGAAAACUGUUGGGAUCGAGAGGAUAUUGUCAUCCAGCAUGGCUUCCCUAAGCAGGGCAUUGCCUUGUCUGACAACAUCUAUGCAGAUAUCACUUUGUGUUCAAAGAUAAACCUAUUCACACUUCUGUUGGAAUGGCACCAAAGUGUUCCAUGUUAACCUGAUCAGGCAAAAAGUCCUGGGGCUUGGAUUGGGUUGUGUGUGUUUGGGAGCCAUGAUUAAGUAUGAUGGGAACAUUCCUGUUCCUUUCCAUCUGCUUCAUUCUUUCUCCUUUCCAUCCCUUUUCCUUUUUUUUUUUUUUUUUUUUUUCCCACUCAAGCACCUAUCAAGCUUUCUGUCACUCUCUGUCCCAUUUUUCUCCAGGCUCUGUGUGGCUGCACCAUGAGCACUUCCACCAUGGAAGGGCAGGUGAUCCCUUUGUCUUGC